rnacentral:rRNA from 1 species
CGCGUAGGUGGCCUUCUUAGUCAGACGUGAAAUCCCCAGGCUUAACCUGGGAACUGCGUCUGAUACUGGAAGGCUCGAGUUCGGGAGAGGAAUGUGGAAUUCCAGGUGUAGCGGUGAAAUGCGUAGAUAUCUGGAGGAACACCGGUGGCGAAGGCGGCAUUCUGGACCGAAACUGACGCUGAGGCGCGAAAGCCAGGGAGCAAACG